rnacentral:rRNA from 1 species
AGUGAACGCUGGCGGUAGGCCUAACACAUGCAAGUCGAACGGCAGCACAGUAAGAGCUUGCUCUUACGGGUGGCGAGUGGCGGACGGGUGAGGAAUACAUCGGAAUCUACUUUUUCGUGGGGGAUAACGUAGGGAAACUUACGCUAAUACCGCAUACGACCUACGGGUGAAAGCAGGGGAUCUUCGGACCUUGCGCGAUUGAAUGAGCCGAUGUCGGAUUAGCUAGUUGGCGGGGUAAAGGCCCACCAAGGCGACGAUCCGUAGCUGGUCUGAGAGGAUGAUCAGACACACUGGAACUGAGACACGGUCCAGACUCCUAUGGGAGGCAGCAGUGGGGAAUAUUGGACAAUGGGCGCAAGCCUGAUCCAGCCAUACCGAGUGGGUGAAGAAGGCCUUCGGGUUGUAAAGCCCUUUUGUUGGGAAAGAAAAGCAGCAGGUUAAUACCCCGCUGUUCUGACGGUACCCAAAGAAUAAGCACCGGCUAACUUCGUG